GUCUGCGUCUGCGUCUGCGUCUGCGUCUGCGUCUGCGUCUGCGUUGUAAACUGCGUUGUAAAGGGUUUGAGUUUAAGCUACUAUUAACUUGUUCUGUCUCUUGGUAUGUUCCUUGCAAAAUCGCAAGUGAUUUUAGCUUCAAGUUGGUCAAUUUUGAGAUUGUAACCUCUAAUUAAAGCUUCACGAAGCUACAAAACCCUGAUCUCAGGCCUUGGCAAUCUCGAGAGUUUGAUUCCGCUAAGUAGAAUACAUGGACGAACAGCUUGUAAGCGCGAAUCGAAAGCUUGCGUUAAGGCAUAGCGACAGAACAGGAGAAGACAGGAUCAGCAAGUUACCAGUGUUGGAAAUAUAACAUGUUAAUGAACCAUGUAAUUUUGUGUUUUUAAACUUCAAUAUGAUCUUGACUACAAUGAUGGAAAUGAGUUUAUUAUGGUGUUGAAGUUUAUGGGUAUUUAAGUUUA